CCUACGGGAGGCAGCAGUCGAGAAUCAUUCACAAUGGGGGAAACCCUGAUGGUGCGACGCCGCGUGGGGGAAUGAAGGUCUUCGGAUUGUAAACCGCUGUCAUGUGGGGGCAAAUUAAAAAGAUAGUACCACAAGAGGAAGAGACGGCUAACUCUGUUCCAGCAGCCGCGGUAAUACAGAGGUCUCAAGCGUUGUUCGGAAUCAUUGGGCGUAAGGGGUGCGUAGGCUGUUUCGUAAGUCGUGUGUGAAAGGCGCGGGCUGAAACCGCGGACGGAACAUGAUACUGCGAGACUAGAGAAAUGGAGGGGGAGCCGGAAUGUUCGGUGUAGCAGUGAAAUGCGUAGAUAUC
rnacentral:rRNA from 1 species